rnacentral:rRNA from 1 species
GAUGAACGCUGGCGGCGUGCUUAACACAUGCAAGUCGAACGGGUAACAUUUUAUUGAAGCUUCGGCAGAUUUAGUUUGUUUCUAGUGGCGGACGGGUGAGUAACGCGUGGGUAACCUGGCCUCACAACUGGGGGGAUAACAGUCAGAAAUGACUGCUAAUACCGCAUAAGCGCACGGAACCGCAUGGUUUUGUGUGAAAAAACUCCGGUGGUGUGAGAUGGUACCCGCGUUGGACUUAGCCAG